rnacentral:rRNA from 1 species
CCUACGGGUGGCAGCAGUGAGGAAUAUUGGUCAAUGGACGAGAGUCUGAACCAGCCAAGUCGCGUGAAGGAAGACUGCCCUAGGGGUUGUAAACUUCUUUUAUCGGGGAAUAAAGUUCAGUAUGUAUACCGUUUUGUAUGUACCAUAUGAAAAAGGAUCGGCUAACUCCGUGCCAGCAGCCGCGGUAAUACGGAGGAUCCGAGCGUUAUCCGGAUUUAUUGGGUUUAAAGGGAGCGUAGGCGGACCCGUAAGUCAGUUGUUAAAGGUUGGGGCUCAACCGCAGACUUGCCGUUGAGACUGGGGGUCUUGAGUGGAGGAGAGGUAGGCGGAAUUCGUGGUGUAGCGGUGAAAUGCUUAGAUAUCACGAAGAACUCCGAUUGCGAAGGCAGCUUACCGGAGUCGAACUGACGCUGAGGCACGAAAGUGUGGGGAUCGAACAGGAUUAGAUACCCGAGUAGUC